rnacentral:tRNA from 1 species
GGUGGCUCAGUGGUAGGGCACUUGCCUUGCAUGCAUGAGGCCCUGGGUUCAAUUCCUCAGUACCA